AUUUAAUAGCUUCCAAGCUGGGGAUAAACUUGAACUCAAAUGGUGAUGUUGAUGUAAGUGCGGACCAUGCAGCAGAAAUUUCCAAGAAUAAAGUACAUGAUAAUACAAGUGCAAAUCGAGAGGUUGAGCGAGAGGCUGCUGGAACCCCAAAGUCGGGACAAGACAGCACCAAGCCUUCAAUUAAUGACAAGUGCAAGUUGCUAAAUUGGGAUGGUAGCAAUGAAGUAGUGGCAAGAGGUUCAAUCUCAGCUAUAGAUCCAAAAUCAACUGUGCAUGGGUAUACACUUGGCCCCGAUUGUUAUAGGAUUUCCAUUGAAGAUGUUUUUGUGCCUAGAGCAGAAUUUUAUCGCACUGAGCCUGAAUUUGCGAACCUUGACGAUGCACGUGGAAGCACAAUUGCUUGGCCAAUAAAGUACAUUGUGUUUCAUGAAGGAACAUGAGUUUCAUGAAGGUGGUUAGUAUUUUGGAUUAGAAGAGGAUAUCUGGAGCUAUAAACAUUGAUGAAGGCUAGGCUGGGCCUCUCUUUUGGUAUAUUUCAUAUUUUGAAUAUGAGAUAGAACUCUCAAACUAGCAUGAGUUAGAUAUGUAUAUGUAUUAAUCAGUAACUUUUGAGAACAAUUCACAGUGAAACAUUGUUAUUAUUAAUGGUUUAUUUAUAAUAGUUUAUG